rnacentral:sRNA from 1 species
GUAAAGGUCGGUGACGAAAUCGGAGAGCAGCGGAUUGCCGCAGUUCCGGUAGAUCGCCACAUGG